UGUGGGAGCGAGCUUGCUCGCGAUAGCGGUGUGACAGUCAAUGAAGGUAUUGACUGUCCGUCAGCCAUCGCGAGCAAGCUCGCUCCCACA
rnacentral:misc_RNA from 1 species